rnacentral:tRNA from 1 species
UUCACAACGGAAUGCAAAUUAGCUCUUGUCUAAACGGCGCAGGCCCGUUAUUGAGCCGCUGCACACUCGGCAUUCGCUUUUUGAUGCUCGUUACUGUGCGAUUCUUCAAGGGUCGUUUUACAGUGCUGCAUAACGCG